rnacentral:sRNA from 1 species
GGGAUGACUAGUGGCAGAGUGAGGGAAGGAAGGGAUGACUGGUGACAGAGUGAGAGAGGGGGUGACUAGUGACAGAGUGAAAGAGGGGGUGACUGUCACUAGUCACCCCAUCCCUCACUCUGUCACUAGUCACCCCCUCUCUCACUCUGUCACUAGUCACCCCCUUCCCUCUCUCUGUCACUCCCUCACUCUGUCACUAAGGACAGAGGGGGUGUUUAGUGACAGAGUUAGGAGGGAGUGACUAGUGACAGAGAGAGGGAUUGGGUGACUAGUGACAGUCACCCCCUCCCUCACUCUGUCACUAGUCACCCCC